rnacentral:miRNA from 1 species
UCAUUUUUGCAAUUUCUGAAAUU